rnacentral:rRNA from 1 species
UUCGGACGGGGCCCGCACAAGGCGGUGGAGCAUGUUGGUUUAAUUCGAAGCAACGCGAACGUAACCUUACCUAGGUCUUGACAUCCCGAUGCUAUUUCUAGAGAUAGAAAGUUACUUCGGUACAUCGGUGACAGGUGGUGCAUGGUUGUCGUCAGCUCGUGUCGUGAGAUGUUGGGUUAAGUCCCGCAACGAGCGCAACCCCUAUUGUUAGUUGCCAUCAUUCAGUUGGGCACUCUAGCGAGACUGCCGGUAAUAAACCGGAGGAAGGUGGGGAUGACGUCAAAUCAUCAUGCCCCUUAUGACCUGGGCUACACACGUGCUACAAUGGGUGGUACAACGAGUUGCGAGUCGGUGACGGCGAGCUAAUCUCUUAAAGCCAAUCUCAGUUCGGAUUGUAGGCUGCAACUCGCCUACAUGAAGUCGGAAUCGCUAGUAAUCGCGGAUCAGCACGCCGCGGUGAAUACGUUCCCGGGCCUU